rnacentral:rRNA from 1 species
GUGUCAGCAGCCGCGGUAAUACGUAGGGGGCGAGCGUUGUCCGGAAUUACUGGGCGUAAAGGGUGCGUAGGCGGCCCUUUAAGUCGGAUGUGAAAGCCCGCGGCUUAACCGCGGAAUGGCAUUCGAAACUGGAGGGCUUGAGUGUCGGAGAGGGUAGUGGAAUUCCCAGUGUAGCGGUGAAAUGCGUAGAUAUUGGGAGGAACACCGGUGGCGAAGGCGGCUCUCUGGGCCGAUCCUGACGCUGAGGCACGAAAGCUAGGGGAGCAAACAGGAUUAGAUACCCUGGUAGUCCUAGCCGUAAACGAUGGGUACUAGGUGUGGGUGGUUUCGAUACCAUCCGUGCCGUAGUUAACGCAUUAAGUACCCCGCCUGGGGAGUACGUGCGCAAGCAUGAAACUUAAAGGAAUUGGCGG